rnacentral:rRNA from 1 species
ACUUAAAUUGAAGAGUUUGAUCAUGGCUCAGAUUGAACGCUGGCGGCAGGCCUAACACAUGCAAGUCGAGCGGUAGCACAGAGAGCUUGCUCUCGGGUGACGAGCGGCGGACGGGUGAGUAAGUGU